GCCAGUGUGGUGCAGUGGUUUGAGUUGAGGACUGGGACUCUGGAGAUUGGGGUUCGAAUCCUUGCUUGGGCA